rnacentral:tRNA from 1 species
GGUUGUGGCUCAACGGUAGAGCGCUCGCCUCACAUGUGUGAGACCCUGGGUUCGACCCUAAGCACCA